AUUGUCUGGGGGAAUGCUGCGUGACCCGAACAGCCAGCACAGAAUGUCUAGGUUCUUUCAUCCCGUGUGGCCGGGCUGCAGCUGGGUCACCUUUGCUAUGUAUGUCCAGGGAGAGUGUGACUUCCACUGGUUACCCAGCACAAGGUCUAUGAAAUGAGACUUCACAACACAAGUGGCUGGACAAUGUUUUGUGAGAUCUUGCCAUGGAAACCCAGGGUACAAUAGAUGAAGCAGAAGAGAACAGGGAGGCAAGGUGAGAUUAACAGAACUAAAAUCACACUUCAAAUUAAAUGAGACAAGAAGAUGAAGUAGUUUUUCCAGCAGCUAAACGUAUGCACUGUUAUCUCUUUAAUAAAAUGAAGGCAGGAGGAAAAAAGCAUCACAGAACCUCUCCAGAGUGGCAGAUUAGCAGGAACUGUAACUCACCACCACAGCUCGAAAAGAUUUACGUUGUGCUACUUCCCUCUUCUUCAUUCUCCCAUUGUUUAACCAUCAACACUGCAGACACCACACACUUGCCAUUUCUCUUUUAAAUCGAUCAAGUAGUUGGCUUUUAUGUUUCUUACUGGGUGGGAAAUUCCUCUAGGUUUGAGCCGUCCAUCUAUGAUUUUGGUGAGCAAACUGUGGAAGGCUGAGCCCCUCAAGUGUUCGGAUCCUUGAGACUGAGGGUUGUUCAGCUUCAGAGAGCUUCAGUUUUAAGCAAAUAUGGGGACAGUGUGAAGGAAGUCCAAGAGGAGAGGGUGGCAGGGGCGUAAGGACAUAUGGGUGCAGCCUUUCAGCUCAGCAGGGCUUUUGAUCAUGAGGACUGUCCUAAUGGCUUCUGAGAGAGUUAUGAGGUGAGUUGUGAAGAAAGUAAGGUAAUAAUUUUACAUUAGAUAUGGGCUUUGGACUUAGUGGAAAAAAAAAAGAUCCAAAGGCAAAAGAGAAAGCCUCCUUUCUCUUUUCACCCAUGAUCAAGGCUGACUACACAUUCCCUCUUCCCCACUGGCCUGGGCGUUUCCACAGCCCUCAGAGACAAAUUGUAGCACCGUGGCCUCUCUGCACAUCCUUAUCUGCACAUCCAAAUCUUCUUGGUGACUUCAAGAGGCCAAAUCUUUUAACCUGAGAUGUUUGAAGCUUAAAACUCAGCCUAUUAACAGAUUUCAGUUAAAUACCUCAAUGCCUUGCAUCAGUCAGUUCUGAAAAUGAUACUGUCUCAGCUACUUUUGGUUAGCAUGAAAAGGUCCAGCAAUGCUUGAGUACUUUGUGGAAAUAAGACUUAAGAGCUUAUAUUUUUUACUCCUCCAAAUAAAAGUAAGUUACUUCAUAGCAAAAAAAUAAGACUCAGGAUUUAUUCUGUUUUCCCCCAUUGCUCUGGGCAAUAGCAUAGAGCUUGUGUGCAUCCAACUCUUGGUACAACUGAGCAGGAUACUUUGAUACGUAGAAAACUUUGCUUAAGUUGAGGCAAUGUCCUUUGGACACACAUUUAAAUGACAUAACAGGAGUUCUGUUGUGAAGUUCAGGACAAGUUUGAGUGCUCUGGAGGGUAACUUCAUCUGUUUUUUCAUAGCUCAUUAACAUGGAUUUGUCCUAAAGACAGUGCCUUAAAAAUGGAAACCUCUUGUAUUCAAACCAGCAGAUAAAAGAUUCUCCUUUAAAGGUUGUAUUUGUUGUAUGUUACUUUUGUUCAGGGUAGGAAAAAAGAAAGCAAACCCAAAAGGUCAAGAACGAUUCCUAACCAUUUGAUAAUUAACAACUUUCAAGUACAUUUAUGUCCACAUACAUUUGUUGGUUUUUUUUUAAAGAAAUAUUUUUAGUGUUUUAACACUUUUUUUUUCUCCAAAAAAAG
ensembl:lncRNA